rnacentral:rRNA from 1 species
UCGAGAAUUUUUCUCAAUGGGCGCAAGCCUGAAGGAGCGACGCCGCGUGGGGGAUGAAGGGCUUCGGCUCGUAAACCCCUGUCAUUUGCGAACAAACCUCGCGGUUGAACAAACCGCGGGCUGAUUGUAGCGAAAGAGGAAGGGACGGCUAACUCUGUGCCAGCAGCCGCGGUAAUACAGAGGUCCCAAGCGUUGUUCGGAUUCACUGGGCGUAAAGGGUGCGUAGGUGGUCGGGUAAGUUCGGUGUGAAAUCUCCAGGCUUAACUUGGAAACGGCAUCGAAAACUACUUGGCUAGAGGAUCGGAAGGGAGACUGGAAUUCUCGGUGUAGCAGUGAAAUGCGUAGAUAUCGAGAGGAACACCAGUGGCGAAGGCGAGUCUCUGGACGAUUCCUGACGCUGAGGCACGAAAGCUAGGGGAGCAAACA